ensembl:antisense
AAGUCAAAAUAGCCUACGUUUUCAAAUUUUAAUUCGUUACGUAAAUGCAACUAUAAUUGUUGAAUAGUCUCCGAUUUUCUUCUGCCUGUAGUCACACGUGUAUCAUUGCGUUUAUUGUAAUUAUUGUAGAUAACGUAGGUCUGAUAAAUAAAUUGAUUAUUUGUUUUCAGCUGUGAACUUUAGACUCUUUACGUUGAGUGUCAAUAAUUUCGUUCCCCAUAAUAUAGAUAGCAUAAUAUCAAUUCCGCAUCAAAAGCUAAACAUGUCAGUUUUAUUUAAAAUACAUUUCAAUGAUUGGGUGAUAAAUUGUGACGUAUGCUUAUUUCAAUUUGAUGUUAACUUCUAAAGAAAUUAACACUUUAUUAUCAUCAUCAUCAUCAUAUAAAUGAUUACACCGAGACACAUGGUAGGAAAAAAUAAAAACACAGCACCUGCAGGUCCAAAGUCAGUUUGUUGCUGAACUUUGAUCUCCAUUUAUCACAGGUAAGUAUGCUAGUAAUCAUAUUUGCAUUUAAAACUGCUUCCUUAUUUCACUGUGACAGUCACUGUGGAAGGAACCACCAUGAUCAGGUUUUCUGUUGUAAUCUGCCUAUCAGUGCUGCUGUUCAGCACUUCAGCCAAACCAUACAGACCCAGGGAAAGAGUGUUCAAGGCUGACAAUGCAGUUCAGGACACUAUAGUUUUUGAUGAGAAGAUGUUCCUAGGAAUGAAGGAGGUGGAGCCAAAGGAGGACAUGGAUAUUACAGAUUUUGACAUCGAUCCUGACAUGAUGGUUUGGAAAGCUGCAAAAGACGAAAUCCUGCAGAAAUACAACCGACCUGAAGAGGAUAAAGACGCUCUCUACCACCCCUUUGACAUGAAACAUCCAGUUGACCCUGAAAUCUAUGUUCAGCCACAAGGAUAUGACCGGGUACUGAAGUAUGACAAGCCAGAAGAAGACAGAGAUGAUCUGUACCAUGGCAGGUUUAAUGUAGCCAAGGAGCCAAUCAGAAGAGAGAAGGAUGUAAUUGGAGGUAAUAAUGUCAGACCCAUUUACUCAAGCCCUGAAGAGGACAAAGAUGACCUGUACCACGCCAAAGUCAGAGGACAACCGUCUGACCAAGAGGCUCAGCCGAUUUAUUUCUUGCCCAUACGCCCCAAAAGGGUUCACACAGAACCAGAGGUAGACCUGGAUGAUGUUUAUCAUAAGCAAUGAUUAAAUUAUGUCAUGUCUAAGGGACUACAAUUAUGGAUCAUAUCCUUUUAAUUCCAAUUAAUACAUUUAUUUAAUUGAAAAUGUUUUUUAGCAUGUCAAAAUGUUUAGCAUGUCUUGAACUCAUCAAAACAAUAAUUAAUAAGCCUUAUUAACUUAUUGUUUAGUACUGAAUGUUUUAAACAAAUGUAGGAAUCUUUUAUUUUGAAAAUAUAUAAUACAAUGACUGAAUGUAUUUUAUAAGAGGGCAAAAGUAUGACAUUUUCAUUGUUUUAGAAAUAAGCUAUUCACAAAGCUUAAUUGUUAACUCACAAAAUGAAAUGUGAUCAGCUGUGGAUCGAGCUACACCUGCAAAGCUAAACUAAAAUAAAUGUUAUUUUUAAAUUUGUUUUAUUAAAUGAAUUGCCUGAUUUCCAGAGACCUACAGAGAUUAUCAACAGAAAGAAAAAUGUUUGUCAUCAAAAUCAAAAAAUAAAAUUAAUAACUUACAUUUUUAUACAAUUAUAUGCAAUCCUUUUUAAUGUAUGUGCAAUAUCUAUCGGUCUACUAACUUUAGCACUGACAAAGAGCUCUCUUCUUUUAGCAUUGUUCUUCAGGAGGAAUGACACCUUUCUUGAUGAUGAGAUUUCCAUACAGUGCAGUCUCCCUAACAGGGAGAUUUAAAUACAAUUAAUUAUUAUUAUUAUUAUCUGAAAUAAACAGACCACUUAUAAAUAAUAGUUAAAUGCUCACCCAGUUGCAACUACAGCAAAUGCUUUCUUUGCACGCUCAUAAAAUGCAAACCGCUCAACAGGCUUCAUGUUACCCUGAGAAGGAAAAAAAAAAGUUAAUUUCUACUAUACCUAUACUGAAUACACAACAUUUUAGUAGCAAUGAAUAGUCCUCAUCAUAUGAGUUAUGACUUUAUUUGUAUGUAACUGCUUACAUCUGAUCCUGCUUGUUUUAGGAGCUCUGAGUACUGGUCCCAUAUCGGCACUUUCAGCCCCUUUAAUAAGUCACUAGGCACAAGGUCCAUGACAGCUGCCUAACAAUUCAGACAAAACCUACAAUUAUGUAAAGUUACAAACAUGAGCAAACUGAGUUUAACUUUCAAAAAAUGCCACAUGUCAGCACUCACCGACUCAUCAUAAGUAUCAAGAGGAAAAAGCUUCAGGAUUGCCUUCAGAAGUUCUGGUAUACGCACACCUUAAAACAGUUUGGUUAAACAUUGCAAUUAAUGCUUAUUGGAAAACUAUGAUUUAUUUAUUAAUUAUUCUAGAACUAAUGUAAUUAUGUUAAAUCAGAAUAAAUAAACAUGAGAUUUGUAUA